GAGCUGUGAUGAAUGCGGCGCUGAAAUUGAUGGAUGGGGUCCAUCAGCUCAUCUGAAUCUCAAGAUGAUAUUUAGCGCGACUGAGCUC